rnacentral:rRNA from 1 species
GAUGAACGCUAGCGGGAGGCCUAACACAUGCAAGCCGAGCGGUAUUGUUUCUACGGAAAUGAGAGAGCGGCGUACGGGUGCGUAACACGUGUGCAACCUGCCUUUAUCUGGGGGAUAGCCUUUCGAAAGGAAGAUUAAUACUCCAUAAUAUAUUGAACGGCAUCGUUUAAUAUUGAAAGCUCCGGCGGAUAGAGAUGGGCACGCGCAAGAUUAGCUAGUUGGUGAGGUAACGGCUCACCAAGGCGAUGAUCUUUAGGGGGCCUGAGAGGGUGAUCCCCCACACUGGUACUGAGACACGGACCUGACUCCUACGGGAGGCAGCAGUGAGGAAUAUUGGUCAAUGGGUGCAAGCCUGAACCAGCCAUCCCGCGUGAAGGACGACUGCCCUAUGGGUUGUAAACUUCUUUUGUAUAGGGGUAAACCUACCCUCGUGAGGGUAGCUGAAGGUACUAUACGAAUAAGCACCGGCUAACUCCGUGCCAGCCGCCGCAGUAA